UACGUAGGGUGCAAGCGUUGUCCGGAUUUAUUGGGUUUAAAGGGUGCGUAGGCGGCCCUGUAAGUCAGUGGUGAAAUACUCCAGCUUAACUGGAGGGGUGCCAUUGAUACUGCAGGGCUUGAGUGGAGUCGAAGUAGGCGGAAUUGACGGUGUAGCGGUGAAAUGCUUAGAUAUCGUCAAGAACACCGAUAGUGAAGACAGCUUACUAGGCUUCUACUGACGCUGAGGCACGAAAGUGUGGGGAUCAAACAGG
rnacentral:rRNA from 1 species